AGUGGAACAGUGUUCGUUAACUUCAGUUAUUUCCUAGUGUCUGCUAGGAGUAAGGCCCAUGUACCUUGGAGAACUGGCCCCACUGAAUGACCAAAGAAUACCAUAGGAGAAACAAUUCAGGCCUUCAGUAAAAGCAGCACCCUAGGGUAUUCUGGACAGAUGCAAGUUGGCAUGGAAAGCAAGGAAACUUCUGGCAGUCUGUCAGAGCAUACAUUGACAAAAAAGAAUAUAUCAACAGAUAUGCUGGAACAACAGAUUAUAUCACUGGAAAAACAGAGACAAGAGCUUUUGACAGUGAACAAUCAAUGGGAUGAACAAUUCAGGCGGAUGAAGCAGCACUAUGAAAAAAAGGUCACAGAAGCAAAAGCAAAACUGGAAAUAAUGCAGAAGACUGUAAGAGAGCUGGAAAAAGAAAGGCUCCAAAUGCGGCAACAGUGCCAAAGGCUGGAAGCCCUGGCUAAAGAUCAGCUACUAAAGGAAAUGAGAGACAAAAAAACCCUAAAGGAAGAGAAUAGGCUUUUGAAAAAAGAAACCACUUUGGCAAACACAAAGAAGUCGCAUUAUGAAUGCGAAAUAAGUCGGCUCAAUAAGGCCCUUUUGGAUGCUUUGAAAGACCAAAGCGCACCCUUUCAUGUGUCCCAUGUGGAUGCUUCAGACAGAAACUGCAGCCAGGAGGAGAUGAGGAUGCAAAUGGAAGUUCUCAGACAACAGGUUAACAUAUAUGAAGAAGACUUUAAAAAGGAAAGAGCUGACAGAGAAAGGCUUAAUGAGGAGAAAGAAGCAUUGCAGAGUAUUAAUGAGAGAUCACAGUCCCAGUUGAACAAACUAAAUUCGCAGAUUAAAGACUGCAAUGAAGAAAAGGAACUGCUUGAGAAGAAAGUAAAGCAACAGGCCAGAGAUCUCCAGGCACUGACAGAGAAACGUAGCUACCCGCAUCAGAUAUUUGUUCCUUCUUGUCUUCAUUAUGGGAACUAUGGAUUACCUCACCCUUACCCUGAACCUCGACUAACACUGGCCACAUGUGGCAUUAACAGAAAGCAGCAGCCCCCACCAGACUAUCAAUGGUAUGUUCCUGACCGGUUUCCGCCAGAUGUGCAGCACAAGGCAAAUGGGACAGGACAAAUGGGUCUGCCGUUUGGAGGGUCGUCUGGCUCAUUGUAAUUGUAGGUGGACAGUGUCAGAGCCGUAUGCAGACGUGGGUGAGUCAGGAAAAUGGGGGCUGCACCAGGAAGCAGGAACAGGUCCCUCUUUGGAGAAAGAAGUCUCUCACUUGUAACACAUGAAGAAAAAUCACAGGAGCAAAUGCAGCAGUUCGCAUGAUUUCAGCUUGUCACUGAUGUUGCAUGUUCUUCUCUUAUUCCAAUGUAUUGUACAUAAUAUACAUUUUUGUAAUAUAUGUACAUGAGAGGUUUUUGUGAUUGUGGUGAAGGAGCAGAUUCUGUCCAAUUACAGUUCUGUUGGCUGCAUGGAAAUAAUUUUCUUUCUUCUGGAAAAGAUUCUGCAAAACCAGUUGCAAUAAUCUGUUGCUUGCAACCACUUAUGUCAGGAUAAAUAUCAGCAGGAUUUCAGAGAAUUUUUAUAUAUAAAACCACUUGGGCCUCUCUCACUGACAUUAAAUACCCAGACUAAACCAUGAAAGACAGAAACAUACCUGAUAGAAACAGGUAGGUCCCAAACAUCGCCCAACCUUCCAAAAAAUUUUAAAAUCCCAGAAAAAAUUCAUUAAUAUCCCAGAAAAUGUGGGAAAACUCUCCCAUUGGGAAAGCAUGGGUUAGGGUUACAAAUUGAACAAACUUUAGCAGUUUUCUUAGGUACUUUUAGACACAGAAAGUCCGGACUUUGUAGUAUUGGAGGGAUACUUGCAAAUUGCAAACCAUUUUCCUAGUAUCUGUAUAUUAUUUGACUGCCACAGUUUUAAGUACAAGUGCGUUGUGAUCAUACUUCCAUUAAACUUUAUCACUUCUU